rnacentral:tRNA from 1 species
UCCCUGGCAGACCAGUGGUUAAGGCUUCGCACUUCCACUGCAGGGAGCCCAGGUUCAAUCCCUGGUCAGGGAA